rnacentral:rRNA from 1 species
AGCGGAGGACGGGUGAGUAAUGUCUGGGAAACUGCCUGAUGGAGGGGGAUAACUACUGGAAACGGUAGCUAAUACCGCAUAACAUCAGAUGUGCCCAGAUGGGAUUAGCUAGUAGGUGUGGGAAUGGCUCACCUAGGCGCCGAUCCCUAGCUGGUCUGAGAGGAUGACCAGCCACACUUAACCUUCGACACGGUCCAGACUCCUCCGGGAUGCAGCAGUGGGGAUUAUUGCUCAAUGUGCGCAAGCCUGAUGCAUCCAUGCCGCGUGUGUGAAGAAUGCCUUCGGGUUGUAAGUUACUUUCAGCGAGGAGGCGUUACUCGCAGAGGUAGCACCUGCUAACUCCGUGACAGCAGCCGCGUUAAUUC